UAAUGCGCCCACACUGGCUUGUCAAAACCUGAUCUCAUCAGAUCUCAGACGCUAAGCGAGACUAGGCCUGGUUAGUACUUGGAUGAGAGAAAAAGCAAGUGCCACAGUGG
rnacentral:rRNA from 1 species